rnacentral:rRNA from 1 species
UGCAUAUCAAAAAGCGGAGGAAAAGAAACCAACAGGGAUUGCCUCAGUAACGGCGAGUGAAGCGGCAAAAGCUCAAAUUUGAAACCCUCGGGAUUGUAAUUUGAAGAUUUGGCAUUGGAGAAAGCUAACCCAAGUUACUUGGAAUAGUACGUCAUAGAGGGUGACAACCCCGUCUGGCUAACCGUUCUCCAUGUAUUGCCUUAUCAAAGAGUCGAGUUGUUUGGGAAUGCAGCUCAAAGUGGGUGGUAAACUCCAUCUAAAGCUAAAUACUGGUGAGAGACCGAUAGCGAACAAGUACUGUGAAGGAAAGGUGAAAAGAACUUUGAAAAGAGAGUGAAAUAGUAUGUGAAAUUGUUGAUAGGGAAGGAAAUGAGUGGAGAGUGGUUUAGGUUUCAGCCUUCUUUCGAGGGGGUGCACUACCAACGCCGAGUCAUUGAUAGCGAGACAGGGGUUAUAAACGGACGGCACUUGUGCUAUUCUCCUAACCCCUCUACUGCCACCAACGACAUAAUCCACCCAUUUCACCCGUCUUGAAACACGGACCA